CGGGGGUGCUAAUACAUGCAAGUCGAGCGGACAGAAGGGAGCUUGCUCCCGGAUGUUAGCGGCGGACGGGUGAGUAACACGUGGGUAACCUGCCUGUAAGACUGGGAUAACUCCGGGAAACCGGAGCUAAUACCGGAUAGUUCCUUGAACCGCAUGGUUCAAGGAUGAAAGACGGUUUCGGCUGUCACUUACAGAUGGACCCGCGGCGCAUUAGCUAGUUGGUGAGGUAACGGCUCACCAAGGCGACGAUGCGUAGCCGACCUGAGAGGGUGAUCGGCCACACUGGGACUGAGACACGGCCCAGACUCCUACGGGAGGCAGCAGUAGGGAAUCUUCCGCAAUGGACGAAAGUCUGACGGAGCAACGCCGCGUGAGUGAUGAAGGUUUUCGGAUCGUAAAGCUCUGUUGUUAGGGAAGAACAAGUGCAAGAGUAACUGCUUGCACCUUGACGGUACCUAACCAGAAAGCCACGGCUAACUACGUGCCAGCAGCCGCGGUAAUACGUAGGUGGCAAGCGUUGUCCGGAAUUAUUGGGCGUAAAGGGCUCGCAGGCGGUUUCUUAAGUCUGAUGUGAAAGCCCCCGGCUCAACCGGGGAGGGUCAUUGGAAACUGGGAAACUUGAGUGCAGAAGAGGAGAGUGGAAUUCCACGUGUAGCGGUGAAAUGCGUAGAGAUGUGGAGGAACACCAGUGGCGAAGGCGACUCUCUGGUCUGUAACUGACGCUGAGGAGCGAAAGCGUGGGGAGCGAACAGGAUUAGAAU
rnacentral:rRNA from 1 species